AAGGAGAACCAACAACAAUCUGCA
rnacentral:siRNA from 1 species